AAUACACCGCGCGGCCCAUUGACAACCCUUGGGCAAAUACACAAAAGGCGUUAAUACAAUUCCCUUCUCCUCAAAAGUGAAUAUCUCUGGUAGAAGGAAGUAGCCAGUUAGAUAGCAACAGCGUCAGAAAACCCGUAUCCAGUAGAAAUCAGAUCUCUCUCGCGACUCCUCAUAAAUCGGGUGGAACGACGAACAAGUUGGUGGAAAAUAUAAAUUAAACAUGUACUUAAAACUUGUUUACGUUACAUUAGUCCUUGCAUUGGUAGCUGCAACAACAGUUGCGAGCGUAGAUGAUGGAUGUGCUGAACUCUCUUGUGACACUUGUGUCGGUGACUGUCAAUGGUUGAACUGCACAUUUAGAGAAACUCCAGCUGUCUCCAAUGUUUCCUGUGUCAACAUCAUGUCCAUAAACAGUCAGAACAUGACCGUGGGCAACUGCUCUAAUGAAACCUGCUCAGGAUUAAAUGGGUGAAAGCUAUUUAAAUGAAUUCACCCUAUUACAUUCACCAAUCUAGCCCUGUCAGAUCACAAGGGAAGGAAUCAUUUUGGGACUUUUCAGACAUAGAUACCGCCAUAACCUGGCGAUCUCCUUCUUUCCUGCUUUUUACCCUGUCUAUCUCAUGGUGUCCGUCACUUCAAUGGGAUCUCCACCUGUUGCUACUACAGUUGUAACUGACAUCCCUGCCCCACCCACAAUCUCCCACUCUCCUACCACUGCUGCUCCAGUUACCCCUACGGCCAGCAAUGCAACUAACAGCAGCACCACUGAGCCCGAGCCCACCCCAGCUGACCUAACCACUGCAGUACCAACUGCCCUGCCCGCCACUAACGGUACCGUCCCAGUCUCUGCCGCAACGCAUGCUUCAAACGUCAGUGUCACCACCACAUCACCUGUGGGGCCCUCUCCAGCGCCUCAUAAGAAUUCCACAUUUGACGCAGCAAGCUUCAUUGGGGGCAUAGUGCUGGUCUUGGGCCUGCAGGCCGUGGUCUUCUUCCUCUACAAGUUCUGCAAGUCCAAGGACCGCAACUACCACACCCUCUGAAGAACCCACUCCACCUCCACCAACCACAAUACCUACUCUGGGGCCCACUAUGAACACCCAAACCCGAACCCCUGGCCAUUGUGAUUAUCACAGUGUUUCCGAUCAGUGUUUCUCCCAAAAGCCUAAUGCCAUUGCGGUGCCAACCUGUGGUUUAGGCCUGUAGCUUAAAUACACACAAGGUUAUAAACUGUACACACCCACAAGUGCGCCACAUCUUUUACUGUACGUAGUUUUCUGCACAUUUCUCACACCCUGGUGCAGCUGAAGUGAACUCCAGCGCAGUGGCAUUUGAGCCUUCAACAGAGGAUUACAUCACUAUGGAUUCCCCGUCUCUCGUUCCCCCUCUCCUACACCCACCCCCCCUCCUGCAGUGAGUCAUUGUGGCUAUUCUCCUGUGUGCUGACUGGAUGAAAAGCAGACUUGUUUACUGCUUCACUCCCCUGGCCCUUCAUCUUAAUGUUUUACCUGCCUGGCCUGUCAUUAAUAGACCCAAUAGUAAUUUAUGUAAACUUUCAAUUCUGCUGGUGUAUAGUGGGGCUGCCACAGCGUUGGAGUACUAGCUUGUUCAUGCACCUUGGUAACGCUUUGGAAACGCUGUUUGAUUGAGGUCCCCUCCCCCUUUCUUUUUUGGAACUAGAUGAUUGGAUGAUAUAGCAUAGCUUUUUUUCUUGUUUGUCAUGGGACAGAUCUGGGUAGGUGUUUUCACAACUCCUUUAUGAAGAGUUUGUAUUCUCUGUAUUGAUGGCAGAGAUGCCUGUUAAAGUAAGAAUAAAAGGAGAACUAUAAGCAAUGGUCCAUCCUCUAAGCAGGGCCCUACAGUGUGACCACUUUACUCACAUAUGCGUGUAAAUAUUUUGCUGUGUGAACUGGAUUUUUAAAAAUGUAUUUAGGAGCACCAAUGCACGUAGGAAAAAUUAUGAUUCUAGCUUUAUUACCUCAAAUAUUUAGCAUUGUGCUACUAAAUUUCUUUUUGUGCCUACAAUUUUCAACUUAGGUGCACACAAAAAAGUCAGUGUAGAGCCCUGCUUAAGAUAGAAUAUUAAGUAGAUGCCCCCGUCUUAAGUGGAGGACGAGUUGGGCUCUCUUGGUGUUAAGACUCAGUGCUGUGUGUGCGUUUGGCAAACACUACACACUGCCAAAAGAGCAGCUCAAUGCAAUAAACCCAAGUCGACCCCUAAUUUCUACAACCCCCCCCCCCCCCCCCCCAAAAAAAAAUCUUUACCGACUUCAGCCAAACAGAUUGCAGUGAUGAGUCGGACCACUAGACUGGAGAUGACCCCUUGACCCACCACCUUCCUUUAACAGGAAGGAAAUCACAAUGAGCCAAGUCUUUAGGACACGGUUGAAGGGGUCUACAGAUAAAAUAUUGUGGUAAAUAUAUGGGAGUGAUAAAUCAAUCAGAAGUAUAAAUUAUUGUGUUGAAUGGAGUUGGAAGAAGAUAAGACAGCAUGCACCUUGAUGCUGACAGUAUUGGAAGCAAAGUGCCUUUAAUGUUAUGUCUGUUACUUAAAGUGGGGGGAAUGAGGGAGAUUUAUGAUGAUGCUCCUCUUCCUCCUGGCUGAGGCUUGAUUGUCAUGAAGUAAAAGCAGUCUGGACACAGGACAGGAGCAGUAUCGCGAGAACAGAACCACAGUUGGCCUCCGUUCCAUUUUAAUUCAGCCAACCCAGGUAGUAAACUGAAAUUCCACAUUUUCCUCAUAGAAAAUGAUUGGGAGUGAUUUACAUUUCAGUUGACUUUAUGAAUUGACUGAAUUGAAAUGGAAUUGAGCCCAACCCUGAGAACCCUAGUAUCCCAGCUGUACUGAAGAGCCUUUUAUUAUUGAAGAGUAGAUAGAUACAGUAGUUGCUCAUCGUGGUUUUGGAUGGAUGGAUGAAGACCUAUUAGGUUUAAAUUGAUUUAGAAUGGCAUUGGUUGAAAAGUGACCCCUAUGCACACUGAAUAUAUUUUGUUUCAUUAAAUGUAGGGCCUAAGUUCCACACAGCUCCCUAAUGCUAGUUCCCCCUCAUAUUGUACACACAUUCUAAUGACAUAUGUUUUUGAAAAUAAUAAAGGUGGAAAGGCAUUUAUAGGCCAAAAUAAAUGAAACACUUGCAUGAAUGAGGGAUACAGUAUAUUGAAAGCAUGUGCUUCCACACAGGUGUGGUUCCUUGGUUAAAAAAAGCAAUUAACAGCUCAUCAUGAUUAGGGUCAUGUAUUAAAAAUGCCCAGUUGCCCAUUAUUUUGGCUACCAUUGCUAGGAAGAAGAGAACUCUGUGACUUUGAUAGAGGGGUUUCAAUGGAGCAUAGGAGGUUUAAACUGUGUCUCUCACAGGAGGUUGGUGACACCUUAAUUGAGGAGGGUGGGCUCGUAGUGGUUGGAGCGGAAUCGGUAUAUAGUAUCACAACUCAAACAUGGUUUGAUGCCGUUCCAGCCAUUAUUAUUAUGAGCUGUCCUCCCCAGUCAAUUACCUGUAUUUUAAGCUUAGUUAGUACAUUUAAUGUUUUCUGUAGUCAUUGCAUAAAUUGUAUAGAGAUAGAGUUUUGAAAGUGUCAAAUAACUGACUUAAUAAUAACUGGUCCCAGAACUUAAGUGACUUUUAAUGUUGAGACAUUGUCCUUUGCAUUUUGGGAGUUUUCUUUUCUCCUAUUGAGGCACCUUUUAAAAAAAAAAAAAAAAAAAAAUGUAUGUAGUGCCAAGGAGAGGAGAUGGGUGUUGAACUACAGAAAAGCAGUAAGUUUCCCAAGUUUAGAGUGCAAACAGUAUGUGUCUAGUUCUUUGAUUAGCUUGCUGCUAAUAGUGUGACUUUGUCCCCUUUGUACAUAGAGCUAUCAUGUCAUUCAGUUGAUUUACCUUAAAGGUUUGAACUUUCAAUCCUGUAAAGGCAAGAUUGCGUUUUCUUUUUUUUUAGUUUUUUCAGUAGCAUUCACUUGCAAUGGCUUUUUCUGCAUUAAUGCAUGUCAAACAAAUGGAAAUGUAAUAUUUUCUGUUGAAUUAUGCUAUUGGGGCUUCAGACACUUAAAAGAGAAAGAACCACUUGAUUAAUUUGUCAAACAAUUUGGUAGAGAAGAGUGCCUGAACAAUGUGUGUUAAUGUCGAAGUUCUCAGUCUUGGCAUGGAAAAUGGAGUGCGGCACUGACGGUUUUGUUUUGUACUUUUUGCCUUCCUGUUGCUGCCAAAAAUGUAUGAAUGCUUGUGAGAGAACUCUUAGCUCAAUAUUUUCAUAAUUAUGAAAAAAUAUCACCUUGCUUUGUAUGGAACACUCAGUGUAAUUUAAAAGUGCACGUCUGUCGUUCAUUGGCCCUGAUUUAAUGUAUGUUCUUAAUCACCUUAGGUUUGCCUUUUAAAGAUGAAUCUGCAGUCACCCAAUGGCAUUAGGCUACAUCCCAAAGACGACCCCCCCCCCCCCCCAAACUAUGGCAAGUCAGAUGUACAAAUCUAGUUUUGCUUUGUCUGCAUUCACAGUAUGCUGAACGUUAAUGGCCAAAUGUCAGGUGGAGAAGGCAACUGAUAAGCAUUUGUGAAUCCAUAGAGCAUUCUGAGUGUUACUUCACCAUUAUUUCUCCUUUUGCCAUGGUCUUAAGGACACCGUGAUUUAAAUCAGUCUGCAUGCCGUAGGAACACACAAUGUAGCAGUGAGUAUUUUCUUUCAGUGUUUGUCACAGGACAUUGCCAUAGCAACUGAUACAAAUAUUCUGAUACAAUUUUUUUUUCUUCAGUUCGGGCAAACUAAGUCACACGGCCCGGCCCCUCUCCAUGCACCUUUUCAAGAAAAGUGCCUUACUCAGUUGAACAUAAAUGAAGAUUUGUAUUUUUGUCUUAACUUGAUAGUACACCCAGUAGAUAUUAAAGGGACUCCGCACUUCCAGACCCCUUGUAAAGAUUCAAUCAAAGAUGCUUUGAGUGGUGAGAGCAGCUUUAAAUGUAUUUGUUUUCUCAGUCACACUCGACGUUGGGAGCUUAAACCAGACAGAAGAAUGGGUCAGCUGGCCAGAUUCACAGGCAUGCAAAAUGUCAAAUUGUGUUCCAUGACUUGGCUACAUUCCAACAUAGAAUUAAAUUUACAUUCUUGACCUGAGAAUGUAGCUGUCUUUGGAACAAUGGCACCCAUUACUAUUGUACAUCUCAAACCCAGUUUGCUGAUGUUUACAUGUCUAUGGCUCUGGGGGCAGCCACCAUUUUCUGUGUGAAGCUCUGAAGCUUAUGUUUAUAGAGCUUUUAAAAUUGAGUUUUUGUUUGUUGCUUUCUAACAAUGUCCAUAUGUCACCUUGAUUUUAGUCCAGUUAAAUAAGAGGUUCUAGGUCUUAUGGAAUGAUUAUUCUGCGUUGCUCUCAUGUGCACAAAGAUGCAGAUGAAUAUGUACACGUACAGUUGCUGUAAUAUUUAGCCAUGAUGCCUGCUACUGUUUUAUGCUUGUUUUACAUCCAUUUUGCCUGGAACUUGAUUUGCCUUGAUUUCUUUUAUUAGUUUUGCCAUUAGCUUGAAGAUGUUAAAUUCAAUAAAGUUUGAAUAUUGUUGAA